GACGAACGCUGGCGGCGUGCUUAACACAUGCAAGUCGAACGGAAAGGCCCUGCUUUUGUGGGGUGCUCGAGUGGCGAACGGGUGAGUAACACGUGAGUAACCUGCCCUUGACUUUGGGAUAACUUCAGGAAACUGGGGCUAAUACCGGAUAGGAGCUCCUGCUGCAUGGUGGGGGUUGGAAAGUUUCGGCGGUUGGGGAUGGACUCGCGGCUUAUCAGCUUGUUGGUGGGGUAGUGGCUUACCAAGGCUUUGACGGGUAGCCGGCCUGAGAGGGUGACCGGGCACAUUGGGACUGAGAUGCGGCCCAGACUCCUACGGGAGGCAGCAGUGGGGAGUAUUGCACGAUGGGCGGAAGCCUGAUGCAGCAACGCCGCGGGCGGGAUGACGGCGUUCGGGUUGUAAAACGCGUUCGCCUGUGACGAAGCGUGAGUGACGGGAAUGGGUAAAGAAGCACCGGAUAACUACGUG
rnacentral:rRNA from 1 species